ACCUGAAACCGUGUACGUACAAGCAGUGGGAGCACAGGUUUACCUGUGUGACUGCGUACCUUUUGUAUAAUGGGUCAGCGACUUAUAUUCUGUAGCAAGGUUAACCGUAUAGGGGAGCCGUAGGGAAACCGAGUCUUAACCGGGCGUUAAGUUGCAGGGUAUAGACCCGAAACCCGGUGAUCUAGCCAUGGGCAGGUUGAAGGUUGGGUAACACUAACUGGAGGACCGAACCGACUAAUGUUGAAAAAUUAGCGGAUGACCUGUGGCUGGGGGUGAAAGGCCAAUCAAACCGGGAGAUAGCUGGUUCUCCCCGAAAGCUAUUUAGGUAGCGCCUCGUGAACUCAUCUCCGGGGGUAGAGCACUGUUUCGGCUAGGGGGCCAUCCCGGCUUACCAACCCGAUGCAAACUGCGAAUACCGGAGAAUGUUAUCACGGGAGACACACGGCGGGUGCUAACGUCCGUCGUGAAGAGGGAAACAACCCAGACCGCCAGCUAAGGUCCCAAAGUCAUGGUUAAGUGGGAAACGAUGUGGGAAGGCCCAGACAGCCAGGAUGUUGGCUUAGAAGCAGCCAUCAUUUAAAGAAAGCGUAAUAGCUCACUGGUCGAGUCGGCCUGCGCGGAAGAUGUAACGGGGCUAAACCAU
rnacentral:rRNA from 1 species